GAUGAACGCUGGCGGCGUGCCUAAUACAUGCAAGUCGAGCGAACAGACGAGGAGCUUGCUCCUUUGACGUUAGCGGCGGACGGGUGAGUAACACGUAGGUAACCUACCUAUAAGACUGGGAUAACUUCGGGAAACCGGAGCUACUACCGGAUAAUAUUUCGAACCGCAUUGUUCGAUAGUGAAAGAUGGCUUUGCUAUCACUUAUAGAUGGACCUGCGCCGUAUUAGCUAGUUGGUAGGGUAACGGCUUACCAAGGCAACGAUACGUAGCCGACCUGAAAGGGUGAUCGGCCACACUGGAACUGAGACACGGUCGAGACUCCUACGGGAGGCAGCAGUAGGGAAUCUUCCGCAAUGGGCGAAAGCCUGACGGAGCAACGCCGCGGGAGUGAUGAAGGUCCUCGGAUCGUAAAACUCUGUUAUUAGGGAAGAACAAACGUGUAAGUAACUGUGCACGUCUUGACGGUACCGAAUCAGAAAGCCACGGCUAACUACGUG
rnacentral:rRNA from 1 species